AGAAGGGGACUCUGGCCAUCUCU
rnacentral:piRNA from 1 species